AGGACAUAGAGGAAGAUGAUAACCAGCCCACUUCUGAUAAAAGUCCAUCAGGAACAGUCACGUCAAGUACACCGAAGAAGGUUCAUGUUAAAGAGACGUUGAAAGUAGGUGAUGGUUUACGUUUCAAGACAAGCCAAGAUGUUAAAGGAAAGGGAAAAGGUAAACUUUUUGUCGACCGAUCCGUCACAGUCGAUAAUUUCAACAAACAAUGCAAAGGCCG